UAAUACGGGGGGGGCAAGCGUUGUUCGGAUUUACUGGGCGUAAAGGGCUCGUAGGCGGCCAACUAAGUCGGUUGUGAAAUCCCUCGGCUCAACCGGGGAACUGCGACCGAUACUGGAUGGCUUGAAGACGGGAGAGGGAUGCGGAAUUCCAGGUGUAGCGGUGAAAUGCGUAGAUAUCUGGAGGAACACCCGUGGCGAAGGCGGCAUCCUGGACCGGUCUUGACGCUGAGGAGCGAAAGCUAAGGUAGCAAACGGGAUUAGAUACCCCGGUAGUCUUAGCCGUAAACGAUGAAUGCUUGGUGUGGCGGGUAUCGAUCCCUGCCGUGCCGUAGCUAACGCGUUAAGCAUUCCGCCUGGGGAGUACGGUCGCAAGGCUG
rnacentral:rRNA from 1 species